rnacentral:sRNA from 1 species
UGUUAUAUCAACUGUUCCUGAACACACCGACAAAACUCUUAAUUCAUUUUGGACUGAUUAAUCAUCUGGUAAAAAGUACCAAAAAUGCCACUUGAAAGAAGAACACGAUGACUCCGAUCUCUUGUACCACGUGACCGGCUGCGUUGGACCCAUCCUCUACGCCAGUGAUAUUCCUCAAUGGUGUUGUUGGCGUGGGCGUCGUGGAAGGGAGACAUCCCUCUCGAGGGCACGGUGGACAGUCUCGGGGACGGUUUGGAUUUUCUGGGGCACACUCUGGGCGUGGUCCACCCCCGCCUCCCCCUCCCCCGGGCCCCAUUCCGGAGUUUACACAAUGACAGAGGUAAUAACUGUAUCCAUAAUUCUCCAGAUUCCAAUCUGUAAACGAUUUUGAAAUGAACUAUCAUCAAAUGUUUUGAAACUUUAAUUAUUAGUGCAGACAUAGUAAUAAGGUUCUUUUAUUUUAGAUUACAAAGAAACACACAUGCAUGUACAUGUUGUAAAAACAAGUUGAUGGAGUUUACAAUAAUGUGUCAAUACACUGUCAGGUUUUUUUCAUUAUUUUUUCAAACAGUUUUUUUUUUCAGACCAAUCUUACUAAAAUCAAUGUAUUCAAUAGAUUGAAAACUGAUUACUGCUGGAAAACUUCGCUUUGCUAAUCAAAUGAACUUACGUGUAUUGUUCGAGGAACAGUUAUACUGUGUCAUUGUGUUUGGAUUCACCACGCGUCCUUUGAAACAUCCUAGAUAAUACGGAAAUUUAUCCGUCACAUAAUACCUGUAGCUCCCAUUGACAACCUUUCCAUGACACUUGUCCAGCUCUGAUUCCGUCACAUUCUGCGACUCGCUUACCCUUGGUCCAUAUAUAGGAAACCCAUCUAAAGCCACGCCAAUGAACUCUUCAACAUCUCCCUUGUACAUGCAGCUGUCGGGAAUCUUGUGAUAGUGAUAAGCUCCACCUGGACUCGCAUGUCCGUCACAUUUAUCAAACACUUCGGGAGACGCCCCCUCUACGGCGUUAGAUAAAUCUCCCGCCAGAGGAUUGUAGAUGGCGACACCUGUUCUUGUGAUCCCAAUCAUCCCUAAUCCCACACAGCCCGGAACGGGCACUAUUUCGGGAGUUUUGGGAAUUGAUACAUUAUAGUUUUGGGCUGUAGCGUUAUUGGGGUUUACUCUUUCCGUCUCAUGAUCAGGUAAACCACUUGCAGAUAUGUAAAACCUAAGAGUGAAUCAUACAAAAAUAUUUAUCAUACAGAAUCGAUGUAUUGUUAAAGUUCUUAGUACCUUGAUUAUAUACUGAGAAAAUAAUGGUAGUUUAGUAAAGUCUAGUUAAGUCCAACUUGUAACUGGUUUACAGGUAUGUCGUACUGGAAAAUUGUACUGUUUUCUUGCCAUCAAUGCUAUUUUUGCUGGAAAGGUAACAUGUAUGUUUUGCUGGAAAUUUUGUUUGAUAGUAGUAAUUGUAUCAUCAAUACUUCCCUGCGAAUCGUCAUGCUAUAAAUUGGAAUGCUGUAAAAACUUAAUCAAUGGAAACUCAACAAUCAAAUAUUUAGUUAGAAAUGCAAUAUUUUUUAAAAGGAAUUUAAUUUUUUUUACUUGUAUUUAUUUUCUAUAUAAAACAGAAAACCCUUACACAGCACUGUCACUCUCGUACACGGCGACCGAGGCACCAUAAUUUCCCGUGGUAUUGAACUGCACAAUUUCUUCCCUCGUUAGUCCAGCUGAGGAGAGGAUCAGAAGGCUUGGAUCAAAAGCCAUUAGAACAAAUAUGAAAAUGGUGGCACCUCUCAUUUUGUUGAAUUUUUCUACAGAAGAUAGAAAACAAAUGUAGCAUUAGCAGAAGGCAUGUUCUUUUUCUAGUUUCCUUGGUUUGACUAAAGUCGAGUCAAGAUUGAUAAUAAAA